GAGAAAGAAGGGAAAUCUGCCCAGUAUUAUAUAUUAGGAAAAAGGAUUGGGUCUUCUGUACAGUCAUGAAAAAGGGACAUUUAAACAGAAUCAGCCACGAAAAGCACCAUGAAACAGCAGAUGCAGAGAAAAAGCUACCUCCUCCUCCUCCUACACAUUACAAUUCCCAUAAGAAGUGGAUCAUAUAUCUCUCCUUCCUGCGGUGCAAGUUCCCAGGCAAUUACUAGAAAGCCUUACACUUCC